GACGAACGCUGGCGGCGUGCUUAACACAUGCAAGUCGAACGGACAGGCCCUGCUUUUGUGGGGUGCUCGAGUGGCGAACGGGUGAGUAACACGUGAGUAACCUGCCCCUGACUUUGGGAUAACUUCAGGAAACUGGGGCUAAUACCGGAUAGGAGCUCCUGCUGCAUGUUGGGGGAUGGAAAGUUUCGGCGGUUGGGGAUGGACUCGCGGCUUAUCAGCUUGUUGGUGGGGUAGUGGCUUACCAAGGCUUUGACGGGUAGCCGGCCUGAGAGGGUGACCGGCCACAUUGGGACUGAGAUACGGCCCAGACGCCUACGGGAGGCAGCAGUGGGGAAUAUUGCACAAUGGGCGGAAGCCUGAUGCAGCAACGCCGCGUGCGGGAUGACGGCCUUCGGGUUGUAAACCGCUUUCGCCUGUGACGAAGCGUGAGUGACGGUAAUGAGUAAAGAAGCACCGGCUAACUACGUG
rnacentral:rRNA from 1 species